AUGCCUCGCCUCUCCACUCCGCUGUCUCGAUCGGUGGGCGGACGGAACACGGAGGCGACUUCGCUCGCCGCGCUCUCUGCCCCACCUCGGCAAUGCCCGCCGCACCCGCCCCGAUUUAAUAGCUUCGGGGCUUCCGGCCUACCAUCCACGCCUGGCAGCAGAGAUUGAUGUACUGGUCCUGAAAUUUGAUUUGGGAAUCCCGGGAACAAGCUAACGAGUCACAUACCUUGUUCAUCAUCAUUUGUUACUCAUGGAAGAUACUACUCAUGGAAAAUGUAUAAGCUUAAAAGGCAGUGCCAGCAGAAUCGAAUUCUAUGGAGUCAACCGGAUUUCUUAGUUAUCAUUGUAGGAUGAUGUGAACAUUGUGAACAUCGAGUGUCUACAUCAGUAAUGAGGGUAUUUUGAGGCCAAACAUUUUGAGCUCCCAGUCUAUUUGCUGCAACUAAGAACAGGCAUUCCUUCCA